GCUUUUGGUUCAGUGGUAGAAUGCUCGCCUGCCACGCGGGCGCCUCGGGUUCGAUUCCCGGCCUAUGCA
rnacentral:tRNA from 1 species